rnacentral:rRNA from 1 species
UACGGAGGGGGCUAGCGUUGCUCGGAAUUACUGGGCGUAAAGGGCGCGUAGGCGGCGUUUUAAGUCGGGGGUGAAAGCCUGUGGCUCAACCACAGAAUGGCCUUUGAUACUGGGGGGCUUGAGUAUGGGAGAGGUGGGUGGAACUGCGAGUGUAGAGGUGAAAUUCGUAGAUAUUCGCAAGAACACCGGUGGCGAAGGCGGCCAACUGGACCAUCACUGACGCUGAGGCGCGAAAGCGUGGGGAGCAAACAGG